rnacentral:rRNA from 1 species
GACAAUGGGGGGAACCCUGAUCCAGCAUGCCGCGUGUGUGAAGAAGGCCUUCGGGUUGUAAAGCACUUUUGUCCGGAAAGAAAACUUCGUCCCUAAUAUGGAUGGAGGAUGACGGUACCGGAAGAAUAAGCACCGGCUAACUACGUGCCAGCAGCCGCGGUAAUACGUAGGGUGCGAGCGUUAAUCGGAAUUACUGGGCGUAAAGCGUGCGCAGGCGGUCUGUUAAGACCGAUGUGAAAUCCCCGGGCUUAACCUGGGAACUGCAUUGGUGACUGGCAGGCUAGAGUGUGGCAGAGGGAGGUAGAAUUCCACGUGUAGCAGUGAAAUGCGUAGAGAUGUGGAGGAAUACCGAUGGCGAAGGCAGCCUCCUGGGGCAACACUGAAGCUCAUGCACGAAAGCGUGGGGAGCAAACACGAUUAGAUACCCUGGUAGUCCCCUCCCUAAACAAUGUGGACUAGUUGUUGGGGAUCAUUUUCCCUAGUAAUGUAGAUAACGCGUGGAGUUGACCGCCUGGGGAGCCCCGGCCCCAAAAGUAAAACUCAAAGGAAUUGUCGGGGAC